UACGUAGGCGGCAAGCGUUGUCCGGAUUUACUGGGUGUAAAGGGAGCGUAGACGGCAUGGCAAGCCAGAUGUGAAAGCCCGGGGCUCAACCCCGGGACUGCAUUUGGAACUGUCAGGCUAGAGUGCCGGAGAGGUAAGCGGAAUUCCUAGUGUAGCGGUGAAAUGCUUAGAUAUCACGAAGAACUCCGAUUGCGAAGGCAGCUUACUAACCUGUAACUGACAUUGAUGCUCGAAAGUGUGGGUAUCAAACAGG
rnacentral:rRNA from 1 species